GACGAACGCUGGCGGCGCGCUUAACACAUGCAAGUCGAACGGAAAGGCCUGCUUUCCCUUGUGGAUUGCGGGUACUCGAGUGGCGAACGGGUGAGUAACACGUGAGUGAUCUGCCCCCAACUUGGGUAUAAGCCUGGGAAACUGGGUCUAAUUCCCGAUAGGACUGCAGGGUGGUGCCUGUGGUGGAAAACGAUUUUCUAGUGGUUGGGGAUGAGCUCGCGGCCUAUCAGCUUGUUGGUGGGGUAAUGGCCUACCAAGGCGGCGACGGGUAGCCGGCCUGAGAGGGUGGACGGCCACAUUGGGACUGAGAUACGGCCCAGACUCCUACGGGAGGCAGCAGUGGGGAAUAUUGCACAAUGGGCGGAAGCCUGAUGCAGCGACGCCGCGUCGGGGAUGACGGCCUUCGGGUUGUAAACUCCUUUCGACCGCGAGGAAGCCACCUGGUUGGAAGGGUGGUGACGGUAGUGGUAGAAGAAGCACCGGCUAACUACGUG
rnacentral:rRNA from 1 species